rnacentral:rRNA from 1 species
AGUUUGAUCCUGGCUCAGGAUAAACGCUGGCGGCGUGCCUUAUGCAUGCAAGUCGAACGAGACCAAGGCUUCGGCCUGACGUCUAGUGGCGCACGGGUGAGUAACACGUACGUGACCUGUCCCGACGUGGGGGAUAACCAGCCGAAAGGUUGGCUAAUACCGCAUGUGGACACCCCUUGGAAGGGGAUGUCGAAAGUAGCAAUACGCGUUGGGAGGGGCGUGCGGCCGAUUAGCUAGUUGGUGUGGUAACGGCACACCAAGGCGAUGAUCGGUAGCUGGUCUGAGAGGAUGGUCAGCCACACUGGGACUGAGACACGGCCCAGACUCCUACGGGAGGCAGCAGCAGGGAAUUUUGCGCAAUGGGCGAAAGCCUGACGCAGCAACGCCGCGUGGGGGAUGAAGGCUCUUGGGUCGUAAACCCCUUUUGCCGGGGAAGAUCGUGACGGUACCCGGCGAAUAAGCCACGGCUAACUACGUGCCAGCAGCCGCGGUAAUACGUAGGUGGCAAGCGUUGUCCGGAUUUAUUGGGCGUAAAGCGCGCGCAGGUGGUUCGUUGCGUCCGAGGUGAAAUCUCCCGGCUCAACUGGGAGGGGUCUUCGGAUACGGGCGGACUUGAGGAGAGCAGAGGUAGGCGGAAUUCUGGGUGUAGUGGUGAAAUGCGUAGAUAUCCAGAGGAACACCAGUGGCGAAGGCGGCCUACUGGGCUCCACCUGACACUGAGGCGCGAAAGCGUGGGGAGCGAACCGGAUUAGAUACCCGGGUAGUCCACGCCGUAAACGAUGCGAACUGGAAGUUGGGGGCAACUUGGCCCUCAGUUUCGAAGCUAACGCGUUAAGUUCGCCGCCUGGGAAGUACGGUCGCAAGACUGAAACUCAAAGGAAUUGACGG